UACGUAGGUGGCGAGCGUUGUCCGGAUUUAUUGGGUUUAAAGGGUGCGUAGGCGGCUUUGUAAGUCAGUGGUGAAAUACUCCAGCUUAACUGGAGGGGUGCCAUUGAUACUGCGGAGCUUGAGUACAGAUGAGGUAGGCGGAAUUGACGGUGUAGCGGUGAAAUGCAUAGAUAUCGUCAAGAACACCGAUAGUGAAGACAGCUCACUAAGCUCAAAACUGACGCUGAGGCACGAAAAGUGUGGGGGAUCAAACAGG
rnacentral:rRNA from 1 species